rnacentral:tRNA from 1 species
GGGUUUGUGGUCUAGUGGUAUGAUACUCCCUUAGCACUAUCAUCACACCUUGUGAAGUCCUAUAUGGGAGUGGUCCCGGGUUCAAUUCCCGGCGAAUCCA